rnacentral:rRNA from 1 species
GCAAGUCGAACGGUAACAGGUCUAGCUUGCUAGAUGCUGACGAGUGGCGGACGGUAGAGUAACGCGUAGUAAUCUACCUUAUAGUGGGGGACAACCUGGUGAAAACCAGGCUAAUACCGCAUACGCCCUACGGGGGAAAGCAGGGGAUCUUCGGACCUUGCGCUAUAAGAUGAGCCUGCGUUAGAUUAGCUUGUUGGUGAGGUAAAGGCUCACCAAGGCGACGAUCUAUAGCUGGUCUGAGAGGAUGAUC